rnacentral:rRNA from 1 species
UACGGGGGGGGCAAGCGUUGUUCGGAAUUACUGGGCGUAAAGGGCUCGUAGGUGGCCAACUAAGUCAGACGUGAAAUCCCUCGGCUUAACCGGGGAACUGCGUCUGAUACUGGAUGGCUUGAGAUUGGGAGAGGGACGCGGAAUUCCUGGUGUAGCGGUGAAAUGCGCAGAUAUCAGGAAGAACACCCGUGGCGAAGGCGGCUCUCUGGAACGCAACUGACGCUGAGACGCGAAAGCGUGGGGAGCAAACAGG